rnacentral:misc_RNA from 1 species
AAAAAAAAAAAAAAAAAAGAACGGUGGGAUAAGUUUGUUAAUUGAAUUGAAGCUAUCUACUUAGACUUUAGGACAAGAUUGUGCUUAAGCUGUCUACCUUGGUUUUAGGACAAGAUGGUGCUUAAGCUAUCUACUCUGGUUUUAGGACAAGAUGGUGCUGCCUUUUUCCAUUGGAAUAGGAGAUUUAGCUUGCUGAAAUUGUCUGGCAUGAAGCAAAUUAGAGUUGUACAGAUAUUUUGGUAGAGUAAUUGGUGGGGACAUGUACAUAGUAUUAAAUCACAGUAAAGGCUGCGUUUGGGUCCUAGUCAAGAGUAACAGAAAUAGGCCUAUAAUGACUCUAAUAUAAUGGUAAUGGCCUGAGCUACGCAAUUUUUUUUUAAAAGACUUUGCAAAGUUCAUAAAAUAAGUGGAUAUUGGUAGAACUAUAUAAUAAGUAUACAUACAUCAAAUUAGAUGUUACUAAUAAUGUAUUUUAGAAAAAUUAAUUCUGAAAAUAAUUCAAAUUAGGAAAAGUCACAUAAACCUAUAAAUUGAGUGAAUCAAUGCUUUAUACUGCAAAUUUAAGAACAAACCUAAUAUUAAACAAAACUUUCUUCAACAAAUAUGCAAAAAAUAAUAAAUAAUACUCACCUUUUGCAAGA